rnacentral:rRNA from 1 species
UUGACCUCGGAUCAGGUAGGAAUACCCGCUGAACUUAAGCAUAUCAAUAAGCCGGAGGAAGG